CAAUAGCGUAUAUUAAAGUUGUUGCAGUUAAAAAGCUCGUAGUUGGGUUUCUGAUCGAGACAUCAGGUCGGGUCCGAGAGGAUCAUGUACUUUGAUUUUGUUUUGAUCAUCCUUGGGGAGAGCAUUUCUGGCAUUCAGUUGUCGGGAUUGGGAUCCUCAUCGUUUACUGUGAAAAAAUUAGAGUGUUCAAAGCAGGCCUCGGCCUCUGAAUACAUUAGCAUGGAAUAAUAAGAUAGGACUUUGGUGGUCUAUUUUGUUGGUUUGCACGCCAAAGUAAUGAUUAAUAGGGAUAGUUGGGGGUAUUCGUGUUCAAUUGUCAGAGGUGAAAUUCUUGGAUUUAUGGAAGACGAACUACUGCGAAAGCAUUUACCAAGGAUGUUUUCAUUAA
rnacentral:rRNA from 1 species